AGCUCCAAUAGCGUAUAUUUUAGUUGUUGCAGUUAAAAAGCUCGUAGCCGUAUUUCUGGUGGGAGAAUGCAGUCCGACUUUAUGUCGGUACUCGCAUCCUCCGGCCAUCCUUGGGUCUAGCCAGUUUGGCAUUAAGUUGUCGAGCUGGGGAUGCCCAUCGUUUACUGUGAAAAAAUUAGAGUGUUCAAAGCAGACUUAUGUCGUUGAAUAUAUUAGCAUGGAAUAAUAAAAUAGGACAUCAGUGCUAUUUGGUUGGUUUGCGCACCGAUGUAAUGAUAAAUAGGAACAGUUGGGGCUAUUCGUAUUCAUUUGUAAGAGGUGAAAUUCUUAGAUUAAAGGAAGACGAACUACUGCGAAAGCAUUUAGCAGGGAUGUUUUCA
rnacentral:rRNA from 1 species